rnacentral:rRNA from 1 species
AACGAACGCUGGCGGCAUGCCUAACACAUGCAAGUCGAACGAGACCUUCGGGUCCAGUGGCGCACGGGUGCGUAACGCGUGGGAACCUGCCCUUAGGUUCGGAAUAACUCCCCGAAAGGGGUGCUAAUACCGGAUAAUGUCUUCGGACCAAAGAUUUAUCGCCUUUGGAUGGGCCCGCGUUGGAUUAGCUAGUUGGUAGGGUAAAAGCCUACCAAGGCGACGAUCCAUAGCUGGUCGGAGAGGAUGAUCAGCCACACUGGGACUGAGACACGGCCCAGACUCCUACGGGAGGCAGCAGUGGGGAAUAUUGGACGAUGGGCGAAAGCCUGAUACAGCAAUGCCGCGUGAGUGAUGAAGGCCUUAGGGUUGUAAAGCUCUUUUACCCGGGAUGAUAAUGACGGUACCGGGAGAAUAAGCUCCGGCUAACUCCGUG